UCGAUUCACCACAAAUGUAGAAGGGAGUUGCUUGCAGUUGUGCUGGCUUUUUCGGAGGCAUGUGCACGCUCGACUUCUCCUUUUCUUACAUUUACACACCUGUGAACCUGUUGGUAGGGCUGCCUCGCAAGAGGACGCUCUAUGUCUUUUUCAUAUACUCCUUUGUAUGUUNNAUAGAAUGUAUCGUUUUGCUCUCGUCAGAGACAAACACAAAAGUUAAUAUAACUUUCAGCAACGGAUCUCUUGGCUCUCGCAUCGAUGAAGAACGCAGCGAAUUGCGAUAUGUAAUGUGAAUUGCAGAUUUUCAGUGAAUCAUCGAAUCUUUGAACGCACCUUGCGCUCCUUGGUAUUCCGAGGAGCAUGCCUGUUUGAGUGUCAUUAAAUUCUCAACUCCCUUUGAUUUCUUCAAAGGUGAGCUUGGAUUGUGGAGGCUUGCCGGCUGCAAAGUCGGCUCCUCUGAAAUGCAUUGGCAAAGGCGUAUGCAUAAUAACGGCUUUCGAUGUGAUAAUGAUCAUCGUAGCUGGAAUGCUUCACAAGUCUAUGCCCAACCUGCUUUCCAUUCAUUUGGNAAACACUUUGACCAUUUG
rnacentral:misc_RNA from 1 species